UACGGGGGGGGUAAGCGUUGUUCGGAAUUACUGGGCGUAAAGAGCUCGUAGGCGGCUUGUCACGUCGGGUGUGAAAGCCCGGGGCUUAACCCCGGGUCUGCAUUCGAUACGGGCUAGCUAGAGUGUGGUAGGGGAGAUCGGAAUUCCUGGUGUAGCGGUGAAAUGCGCAGAUAUCAGGAGGAACACCGGUGGCGAAGGCGGAUCUCUGGGCCAUUACUGACGCUGAGGAGCGAAAGCGUGGGGAGCGAACAGG
rnacentral:rRNA from 1 species